GAUGAACGCUGUCGGCGUGCCUAAUACAUGCAAGUCGAGCGAACGGACGAGAAGCUUGCUUUUCUUAUGUUAGCUGCGGACGGGUGAGUAACAUGUGGAUAACCUACCUAUAAGACUUGGUUAACUUCGGUAAACUGGAGCUAAUACCGGAGAAUAUUUUGAACCUCAUGGUUCAAAAGUGAAAGACGGUCUUGCUGUUACUUAUAGAUGGAUCCGCGCUGCAUUAGCUAUUAGGUAGGUUAACGGCUUACCAAGGCAACAGUGCAUAGCCGACCUGAGAGGGUGUACAACCCGUCAGGAAGUGAGACACCGUCCAGACUCCUACGGGAGGAAGAAGUCGGGAAUCUUCCGCAAUGGGGGAACGCCUAACGGAACAACCACGAGUGAGUGAUAAAGGUCUACGGAUCGUAAAGCUAUGUUAUUAGGGAAAAAGAGAUUUAUAAGUAUCUGUGCACAUAUUGACGGUACCUAAUCAGAAAGCCACGGCUAACUACGUG
rnacentral:rRNA from 1 species